rnacentral:rRNA from 1 species
GACGAACGCUGGCGGCGUGCCUAACACAUGCAAGUCGAACGGACAGGCGAUGAUCUUGUGGGGUGCUUGUGUGGGGCAGGGGUGAGUGAAACGUGAGUAAACUGCCCCUGACAUAGGGAUAACAUCAGGAAACAGGGGCUCAUACAGGGUAGGAGAUCCUGCAGCAUGGUGGGGGUAGGAAAGUUUCGGCUGUAGGGGAUGGACUCGAGGCUUAUCAGCUUGUUUGUGGGGUAGUGGCUUACAAAGGCUUUGACGGGUAGCCGGCAUGAGAGGUUAGACGGGCACAAUGGGACUGAGGGACGGCCCAGAAGCCUACGGUCGGCAGCAGUGGAGAGCAUUGCACAGCGGGCGCGCGCCUGAUGCAGCAACCCUGCGUGCGGGAUGACGUGCUUCUGGUUGUGAACCGCUGUCUACUGUGACGAAGCGUGAGUGACGGUAAUUAGUAAGAAAGCACCGGCUAACUACGUG